CCAAGAAAUGAUGGCUACGGAUUCAGAUCAUUUCGUAGUCUGGAAAAAGGAAGUUCUUUUAUGGUGGCUUCUGUCUUAUCAGCAGAACUGGAGGGCGGAGUAGAGGGGCGGAAGGUGUGAGGAACAGAGAGAAGCUUCCGAUCAGCCAUGGCGCACAACGGGAGCGUAUGUGGAAAGAGAGGAGCGCCCAGCACCACUGAGGCCCCAGCUGGGGUUGGUACCCAUGAACCGACCCUGGCAGCGAUUCUCAAGCAAGCAUGCCAGACGCCACUCAGAAGUGUGUGCUGGACCGAGACACGAGGCUUCCCCGUUCUUGGCAACAUCCUGGGCCCGCAGAAAGCAAUUCCCCUCUGCGUAAUACAACAACCCUGUGUCAUGAGCAGCCUGUCCAACCCGCAUUCUCCAAGCUCAGAACUGACUCUGAACCAGGCAUCCAGGGUCACAACUCCAUUGUCCAAAAAGGCGAGAAAACCGGUUUCUUUUCAAAGACAGAUCACAGCACUCGGCUUUCCUACCUGUCCUCCAACGACCCCCGUGCUGCAUGGGCAAGAGAAAGAGGCUUCCUUCCACUGGUCCUGACUCACCUUGGUUGAAUGCUAGUCUCUCUCUACAGAAAUUUCUCCACAGUCGCUACAACACACGUGCAUGCCAAGAUUCAAGGAAAAUGUUACUUCCAGUUAGAGAAAGAAAUUACAUUAUUUAACCUCUAAGGAAAAGUGGCUUACUAUAAAUCAGGCCCUUGGGAGUGAUGUCAUUUUGAUGCUUCUUACAACUGUAAGGAGACUUAUUAAAUAUUCAAUAAUUAAUAA